rnacentral:rRNA from 1 species
UACGUAGGGGGCAAGCGUUGUCCGGAAUCAUUGGGCGUAAAGAGCGUGUAGGCGGCCCGGUAAGUCCGCUGUGAAAGUCCAGGGCUCAACCCUGGGAUGCCGGUGGAUACUGUCGGGCUCGAGUCCGGAAGAGGCGAGUGGAAUUCCUGGUGUAGCGGUGAAAUGCGCAGAUAUCAGGAGGAACACCGGUGGCGAAGGCGGGUCUCUGGGCCGGAACUGACGCUAAGGAGCGAAAGCGUGGGGAGCGAACAGG